rnacentral:rRNA from 1 species
CUGCUGGACGUAUCAGAAGUGCGAAUGCUGACAUAAGUAACGAUAAAACGGGUGAAAAACCCGUUCGCCGGAAGACCAAGGGUUCCUGUCCAACGUUAAUCGGGGCAGGGUGAGUCGGCUCCUAAGGCGAGGCUGAAAAGCGUAGUCGAUGGGAAACAGGUUAAUAUUCCUGUACUUGGUAAAGCUGCGAUGUGGGGACGGAGUAGGUUAGGUUAUCGCACUGUUGGAUAUGUGCGUUUAAGUUGGUAGGUGGGAAGUUUAGGCAAAUCCGGGCUUCCUUAACACAGAGAGAUGAUGACGAGGCUCUACGGAGCUGAAGUAACUGAUACCACACUUCCAGGAAAAGCCACUAAGCAAAAGGCUUUACUAAACCGUACUGAAAACCGACACAGGUGGUCAGGUAGAGAAUACUCAGGCGCUUGAGAGAACUCGGGUGAAGGAACUAGGCAAAAUAGCACCGUAACUUCGGGAGAAGGUGCGCCGGCGUAGAUUGUAAGGGCUAGCCCCUGAAGGUUGAACCGGUCGAAGAUACCAGCUGGCUGCAACUGUUUAUUAAAAACACAGCACUCUGCAAACACGAAAGUGGACGUAUAGGGUGUGAUGCCUGCCCGGUGCUGGAAGGUUAAUUGAUGGUGUAAUCGAAAGAGAAGCACCUGAUCGAAGCCCCAGUAAACGGCGGCCGUAACUAUAACGGUCCUAAGGUAGCGAAAUUCCUUGUCGGGUAAGUUCCGACCUGCACGAAUGGCAUAAUGAUGGCCAGGCUGUCUCCACCCGAGACUCAGUGAAAUUGAAAUCGCCGUGAAGAUGCGGUGUACCCGCGGCUAGACGGAAAGACCCCGUGAACCUUUACUAUAGCUUGACACUGAACAUUGAAUUUUGAUGUGUAGGAUAGGUGGGAGCCUUUGAAGCAGUGACGCCAGUCAUUGUGGAGGCGACCUUGAAAUACCACCCUUUAACGUUUGAUGUUCUAACGAAGAUGACGAAACGUGGUCUCGGACAGUGUCUGGUGGGUAGUUUGACUGGGGCGGUCUCCUCCCAAAGCGUAACGGAGGAGCACGAAGGUUUGCUAAUCACGGUCGGACAUCGUGAGGUUAGUGCAAUGGUAUAAGCAAGCUUAACUGCGAGACAGACAAGUCGAGCAGGUACGAAAGUAGGUCAUAGUGAUCCGGUGGUUCUGAAUGGAAGGGCCAUCGCUCAACGGAUAAAAGGUACUCCGGGGAUAACAGGCUGAUACCGCCCAAGAGUUCAUAUCGACGGCGGUGUUUGGCACCUCGAUGUCGGCUCAUCACAUCCUGGGGCUGAAGUAGGUCCCAAGGGUAUGGCUGUUCGCCAUUUAAAGUGGUACGCGAGCUGGGUUUAGAACGUCGUGAGACAGUUCGGUCCCUAUCUGCCGUGGGCGUAGGAGAAUU